AUCGGGGUCCCUGCAUGGAGCCUGCUUCUCCCUCUGCCUGUGUCUUUGCCUCUGUGUGUGUGUGUGUGUGUCUCAUGAAUAAAUAAAUAAAAUCUUAAAAAUAAAUAAAUAAAAUUAUGUAAUAAGUGAUUUCUCAUGACAAACAGGGAAAGCAUUAUUUAUUUAUUUAUUUAUUUGUUUAUUUAAUUAUUUAUUUACUGCAGAAUUUUUGUUAAGGAGCCACAAGAGUUGAGGCAGAAAGGAUUUUCUCCCUAAGUGAGCCUUAGUGACAAAAAAUGUAGAGGAGAAGAUUUAUUCUGCUUGAGAAUGAAGAUCAACUGUGUCAUAUUCAUUUCUUAAUUUCUGGCUUCAUAGUUUCAAGGUCAUGCCUUCAACAACAAAGAUGGAAAAGCUCAUCCACAGGUAGAGAUUCCACAUUUCCAUUCAUUGAAGACAUCUUUAUUCUCAUUGAUCUAAUUUUUUACGAAGCCAAAAGCUCCAAUCCUGCAGGAAGAAUGACUAUAUUUCAUUGUUGUUAAGAAAAUCAUACAACAAAAUUGUUAUUCAAGGAGGCAAUCAAAGAGUAUGCAGCUAUAAAAGAGUAGAAAAAAUAUUGUAGAAGUGUCAAGUAGCUAAUAAAAAACACUAUUAAUCUGGAUUUUGUGACGUGUAUGGUAUUUAUGACCUCUUUGAAAUUAUUCUUAAAUAUUUACUUUCUUACCUAAUUGUAAUGUUGUGUUCGGUUUCUUAAAAAGAACUCUCCAAGUGAUGGAAACAUCAGACCCCACAGAAGGGGAUCUGUCCCAGGGAGGGGAAUCCCAUUCAUGAUCUUAGUCUCCUGAUAUCAUGCCUUAACCAAGGUUCUAACCUAUAAGUAGAGAUGCCAUACAACUAUUAUCACCUUCUGGGGGGCCAUUUGUCAUCCUAGAACUGGAUUAGAUUAUCAUGGAUAAGUAACUAUCUUGUUAGCUCGGAUCACCUGCCACACUGUCCUAUCAAGGGAAUCUGAGACUGAGUAGAAAGUAAAGAACAUCCAGUUAGCUCUCAUUUACACCUGCUUGAUUUCAAAAAGGAAACAAAAUAUUAGUCACGAAAGGAAUUUGCAUGACAGGACUGUUGGGAGUAUCCAAUAUGUAUUUCCUUAGAUUGUUGUACCAAUUGAAUUGGACCUUUUCUAUAUUUUU
rnacentral:lncRNA from 1 species